rnacentral:lncRNA from 1 species
GUAGCUCAGCUGCUGGCAAGACAUGUACCGGCUCAAUUUAUUUUAUCCAGAACUAACCUGAUGCUGGCGACCUUAACCGAAAAAACUUGAUCUGAAGAUAUACCCCCAGAUAAGCCUUUCUUUUGGGAACAUGCCUAAAAGUUUGAAAAAAUCUAUACAAGUUGGCAUGAUGCUGUACUGAUGACCAUGUAGUUUUUCCAUAGCUUUUCAUGACUGCCAUUCUUAGACAGAGUACAUGAACUAGUUUUUGGGUCUACAACCUCAGACCAUCUUGUAAUUUCAUUCCCUUCAAUCUGUAAAAUCUACUCUCCUUUUCCAGUUCUCGUCUUUUUUGUAGUUCCCUACUCUUACACUCUCCUGGUCGUUUUCUUUCUGUACCAUCUUGACAAUAAAUAACACGAUGUGUCGUUCGUCCAAAAAAAAAAAACUCAGACAACUUCUACUAUAGCCACCUUACGUUCAAGUCUUAAGCCGACCGGUGUCGAGCCCUCUAGCAUAUUUUUGCAGCCUAUUUCAUAUUCCAUCUUCUUUCACCUUCACCCCUAGUGAAUAACAUCGCCUGCUAGGUCAUCCUUGUCACACUUGUUGAUGGCUCCUUGCUCCUUGUUGGUCACCUCAAGAAUAUUCAUCAAGGUCUCUUUACUUAGUUUUUAAUUAUCUGAUGUGGUCUAUGAUGUAAUGUAACACGUACGCCACUCGACUUUGCACUGUUUUUAAUCCUUCACUUCACCUUUUAUAUACGAUCGGUGUGGCAUACGUAAGUUGGUUUCUUAGUAGUAAUAACUUGACUUAGUAACCACCAAUUAAACCCCUUCCCUGAA